UCUUUGAAUUUUCUGCCUCUAUGAAUGG
rnacentral:piRNA from 1 species